UUGCAGCUGUCAGUGCUGGAGCUUUGGUCAGAGAAGGUCCCAGCAGGGCACUCUUCACAAGUGACAUCCCGUGUUGAGGUGCCUGAAUAAAAACAAUGGCUGGGGACUGACCAACCAAAACACACCAGGUCAAGGCCCACGGCCAAGAGCGGGAAAGCAAAAAGAAAACCGAAAGAAAUGAGGGAAGAUUGAAAGUUGGACAAAUAAUUAUUUUACUAAAGACCCACAGCUACCCCACUGCCUCACAGAUGAGCACCAGAGCCCCUAUCUAAGCUCUUCUAGCAAAAGGACAGGCACCAGCACAAGAGACAGCCUGCAAGGUUUAAGUUCCACUGCUGAGGUCAGAGUAUCUGAUACAAAAAGUAAGUAUGUGAGUACAAAAAAAACUGUGUGUGAAAGACUUUCCCAGAACUGGCAACAAGGAGAGUUUUCUGGCCCGUUUUCCAGAUAAAGUGAGACUUGAAACAAGCACACUGAGCAUUUUGUAUAUGUACAUAUAUGUAUAUCAGCUCCUUUUUAAUGAAUGGUGUCAAUAAUUUUUGAACACACUGGAUAACUUCAAUCAAAUUUGGCUGAGGAGGGGGUGCCAUUAAGAUUUACAAGGUUUCACGGGAGGAAAUGGCUUGGAUGGAGGGACAAGGUGCUCAUGACAAGCUCCCUGAGGGAGAGGCUGCAGGAGGAGAUCAGUCCUCCUCAGAAGAAAGAAUCCACUCACACGUCCAAAGUGAAACCAGGCUUCCAGCUGCCAUUUUUCCUUGAACUUCAUUCU